CAAUGCUCUGUUUAGACAGAGCAUGUGCCAGGAAAAGCUAUUGUACCAAGAAGGAGGUUUAGCAUAUGGGUGAAGGGCCUGUGGAUAGCUCAAAUCACCUAUGUGGAGGUUAGAGUGACUGUAAGGCAGAGCAUGGGGCACAGGGGAAAUGAUGGGAAAUGAUGCCGAAGAAAUAGAUGGAGACCAAACCACAGCUUUGCAGGUCAGGUUCUCCAAUGCCAGCUGGUUGUUUAUGGAGAAGAAAAAAAUAAAGAAACGAAUUGCUAGAAAAUAGAGUGAAAGUACGCAAGAGAUGGAGAAACAAGACAGCUUAAGAGGUCUCAGGGAAGCCUAUGGAAGAGAAAGCUGAAAGACUGUAAGAGCCAGAGUGGGUGGAGGAGACCAAGAAAACAAGGCCCUCUAAUCAACAUAUGAACGCACAGACUGAGGCAGCACACACAGGGCCUUCACGGGUUUGCACCAGGUGAGGUCCUAGAGCUGACCGAAGUGGACAUACACACCCCUUCCUAACCAGGAAGCUGUCUCCAAAUAACCACUUCCAAAUGAACAUUUAGUUUCCCCAGGGGAUUCUCACCAGGAAAAUAAACUCCUCUUAAGGAUAAGCUGCAUGUUCAACAGUAGAUGGCCAAUAGAAAAUUUACUCAAUGGCAUCUUUGGAGUUUCCUUGUCUCAUAAUGCCAUGUCAGGGCUCUUCCUUUUUUUUUAAAAUUUUAUCAUUUUUUAAAAUUUUUAUUCUGUUUUAUUUCCAUACAUUUUUUUCUUCUGUCUUUUUACCCUACAGCUCCUUUGCAUAUAUGUUGUUUCCAGUUUAGCAUUUUCAUGAGAUUCCCGAGUGUGUGACUGAGUUGGUCUCCAUAUCUUUAUCUGCUUCGUGUGCCUUUUCAUGGGUUCUUUCCCUUCUGUUUCUUUGUUUUGUCCUACUCUUGUGUGUUAGUUUGUAUUUUGUCUUAUUUUAUUAUAUUAUUAUUCUUUAGAAGCCUGUUUGUUUUCUAAUGGGUGACAGAAACAGGGUGGAUCAAGAAGGGAGUUGAGGUGGGGAGGAACUAAGAGGAACAGAGGGAGGGACACCAUAAUCAGGAUACAUUAAGUAAGAAAAAAAAUCUAAUUUCAAUAAAAAAAAAUACAGAGGGAUAUUAGGCUAUUCUUAUAUAAGGUGAAAAUAUAAAAAAAAUAUAAUGCAGUGUCAUCAUGCAGAAUGCAUGUGUGGCAUGACAAGGGCAUUAAGAGAACAAUGUGUGAGGAAAGGGAUUACUAUAACCAGAGGGCCGAUGAUGUUCAGGUUUGUGGUCCAUUAUUAGGCAGACACCUUUUUAGAAAACAUUAUUUGCAGGAAAAGAUGCCAUCUAGCUUUUCUCUCAACUUUGAAAUGUGGAAGGUGAUAAAAAUUAACCACCGCCACAGCCUCUGUUGUACACCAGACACAACUGAGACCUGCAUGGCUUCUUGGUAGAAGACACAUGUAAUUUCAGAAUUAACUGUCAUGUCGUUAGAUACAACUGUAUGGGCGUGGUGACCUAAACUAGUUCCAAUCAAGUUGGUUAUGAAUGCUUCAAGAUAGGAUGGAAAGCGAUGAAGAAGGAAUUGGGAUCCUUAAGCACAAAGUAAGAAAGAACAGUAUUUACCCCCUCCACCAUGCAAUGUGAGUUCAGCCUUGACAGGGAAACAGUGCCUCUGGAAUGAUCUCUUCUGUCCUAGGAAGAGCAGUCUAUUCAGACACUCGGUGGUCCCAAAGUUCUUGAAGCACAUGAAUCAAACACUGUGGAGUGGAUAGCAAUAAUAUAAAAUUAUGAAGGACUAGAAUUGUUAUUCUUUGAGAAAGAAAAGAGAAAAAAAUAAAAAUAUGUAAUUAAAUAUGGCAUGUGUUUGUCUUUUUAAAAUGUGAGUGAUAGGUACUCUACACUAAUACAUUUGUUUAUCUAAGGUCACAAAAGGAAGCAUCAAUGCAAAGGAUUAAUCACUACACAACUUGAUAGCAAGUCCUAACCCUGUCUUAUGUUCAUGUUCCCAUUCUAGUCAGGGUAUAGAUUCUCAUACAUAGGAAGUACCCAGUUAACACAUUUUUAAAAGCAUAUAAAAAGCAUUGACCAUCCUGUGAAUAUACUUAAGUCUUUCAGACAUACAAUUUCACAUUUCUAUGUAAAUGACUUGCAUUUGAACUAUAGUAGCAUCUACAAACUUGAUGGACAGUCAUUGUGGGGGGAAAUCUUCCCUCUAAUUUGCUUGUAUGUAACCAGAGGGUUAAUAUGUCCAUGCAGAGUGCAGACUUUUCUCAAAGGUCUCUUGUGUUCCACUCCCCCUUGCAUUUUAAUCCAGGCUUUUAUGUAUGAAUAAACACUCAUGUCUUUGCUCACAGGGCUGGCCUAUCAUAUUCACAUACACAUACUCUCUGAGGUAAUCUUUAGCCAAGCACUUUCUGAUUAUAUUACACUUUUUCACACUGUUGUCCCAGUAGACGUUGACGUCAUCUGGAGACACAGUAGCGCCAUCGGCCUUCAGAGGUUCAAUUUAUUCUGCCAUCCGGAAACCCUGCCGACAAGGCAGCCUGUGUUUGGAAUUAAGCUUCUGACAUGCAGGGCAUGGUGGAGUGCAAACAUUGGUUAGCGCUUCCUUUCGCAACCACAGAGGAAAGCCACACUGAUUGGUAUUCAGGAAAGGGACCUCCUGUUUCGAAGGAUUCCUUCAUGCUGUUCAGCAAUACUCCUUAGGGUGGAUUUUCCCAUUUGAACUGCAAAGCUUGAACACAAAUAUUAACUACCUGAAGCUGCAAAUAGCAGCAUGGUACAUUAAAAAAAUAAUGAAUAUUUUAACCAGCCUUUGCCCAACCAAGAAAAAUAUUAUGCAGAAACAAGGCUGAUUUUAGAAAAAUGCCUAAGGAAACAUUUUUUUAAAGAGUUGAGCUUCCUUUCAAAGUUUGUUUUUGCUAAACAUUCGUAGUUUUGCUUUUUCCAACCCAAUUUUUAUUAUAAGAGAGGUCUCCCACAAUGUGCCUGACAUUUACUUCAAAAUAAUAAAUAAUACACAAAACCUUUGGAAAUAGUACAUAAGCUCUUAAAUGAGACAGGAAUAAUGAAAUCCAUUACUUAGAAGGGAAGGUAAUUCUUUGUAGGUAUGUAUGCUUGAGGCUACUUACAGCAAGCAGGGUUCUCACUUUUUGACUAUUUCCAUGUUUAUUUUCUCAUUUUAUCAAACAAAAUAGUUUUAUUUUGUUCUAAAUUGAUGUAGGAUAAUUGUGCAUCUUUAUGUGGCACAGAGUGAUGUCUCAAUAACUAUACAUUGUCAUGUGUAAUGAUCUAGUCAGGAAGUGUAUCUACCACCUCAAGCACAUUUUGAAAUGUGUUGGGAAAUUUAACUCCUCAUUUCCAGUCAUUUUCAAACAUAAAAUUGUCAGCCAAAAUCUCUUUACAUUUGGAUACCAAAUGUCAUUCCUGUGCUCUGUGCCAGCAAAGGACGUCGUCCACUCUCUCCUCGGGACUCUGGUAACUAUUAUUCUACUCUGCACUUUGAUGGGAGUCACUGUCACAGAUGAGUGAAAUUGUGUCUUAUUUAGUUUCCCGUACCUACCUUAUUUCAUUCAGGAUAAUGUGAUCAUGUAGCCAUAAAUGACAAGAUUUCAUCUCUUUUUGAGCUGAACAUUAUUUCACUUUGUUUAUGUACUAUAUUUACCAUAUCCAUCAUCUGUUGAUGGGCAUGUAGAUUGACUCCCUGCUGUGGCUAUUGUGAAUAAUGGUGCAACAAUCGUAUGGGGCAGAUUUCCUUUUGACACUGAUUUUAUUCCUUUCGAUAUAUACCCCAGAUCAUAUAGUAAUUUAGGUAAUUUUUGGAAGAACUUAAAAAAAAAGAAACUUUUGUUUUUUUUUCAAGACAAGGUUUCUCUGUGUAACUUUGGAACCUGUCCUGGGACUUGCUGUGUAGACCAGGCUGGCCUUGAACUCACAGAGAUCUGCCUGCCUCUGCCUCCCAAGUGCUGGGAUUAAAGGCGUGUGCCACCACCGCCUGGUGAACUUCAACAUUUUUAACUGACUCUCAUGAAGUACCUGAAGGUGCUGCCUCAUUUGCAGUCAGUAGAAGACUUAGACAUUUUAGAGCUGUGGCUCUGAGGAAAGAUAUGUACCUGGUGGCUAGCUUCUUUGGCAUUCAUAUUGUAUUGGUGAAGACCAAAACAACUCUCUUCAAGAAUUUAGAUUCUUAAUCAGUGAAAUAGGAAUUGUACACUGAACUUAGUAACUACAUGGUUUUAGAAUACUUCCUUUGUUUCAAGCUAUUUUCUCCUCAAUACAUGACUUACAUUAACUCUUUAACUCCCCAUAACACUCCUUUGAAGAUUAUGUUAGUAUUACCUCUUUUAGCAGCUAGGGAAGCCAUUAUACUGAGAUAAACAAACACACACUUGAAACUGUUGUGUGCUUAACCGGAAGUCCAAUGUCACUGACUACAAUAUCCCACUUACUCAUUUACUUCCUUCUGCUGUCGGUUACACACAGGUUAAGGAGCCUAGAAUCAACCCUCCUUGGUUUCCUAACUCAUUGGUAUUCAAAACUUUUCCUUGCCAUUCUUUGUUUUGUUUCUGUUUUGUUGUGUAAUUUCAUUAUGUAUCUUACAUGUGAAAUGAUAAGAAAAUAUGGGUCAGUGUACCCAAAUUCUAGUUGUAACCCAGCUACUGCUCAUAAAAACUUUAGAUAUAGCAUUAGUUCAGUUGAUCACCUAUAAGGCAAACAUAGGGACAGCAUCCCCGUGUUCCCACUGUGGGAAUGCAUUGGGAAUGGUAGACAGAUUCUUCUCUUCCUGCGUGAUGAACCAAAUUGAAGCCCCUACUAUUUUAUUUUCAAUACUAAACUACUAACAUUUUUGUUGUAGAAGACAGUAUACCUAUGAGAGAAGGGAGGCUUAAAGUUAUUAAUAAGUUUUAUCAACCCUUUUCUUUUCAUCAAGACUUGAUUAAGUUGUAGCCUGUAUUAAAAACAAGAGCAGUGACUAACCAACUGGGAUUUUCUGAUAUCAAAGAUGUGGGAGCAUCAAUAAUGAUAAACAGAUGGUGCAAUUAGUGUUGGCUACCAACAGAGAUCCUAACGUCACUUUUUAUGUCUGCAGCACUGAUCAAAGUUGACAGGGUCAUGAUGAUGUUUGUGAAGGCUUACCAGAAAUUAAUUUUGUAGACUAAAAUAUCUUACAUUUAUGCCCAAGCACUUAUUUGGAAAUCCAAUUCCUCCCUCCCUUGGGAGAAUAUCUCUAUUCCCUAAUUUCACUUUUCAGUUACUCUCUUGCAUAGCAUUCCUCCCACUUAAACCUUGGAGCAAUGUCUUCAAUUUUUACAUUACUUAAGAUAGUCUAUUUUCCCAUCUUUCUCUGUUCAAGCCAUUGGCUUAAAAUAUGCCAUAAAAUGCACUACAAAUCAAGAAAUAACAAAUUUAAGUAUUUGAUAACAAUCUGGUGAAAAUUAUUAUUAUUAUUUUUUUACUUUUCUUUAGCAUAAGAAUCUCUAUGGAUGUGAUCUUUCUUAGUUGGGAAGCCACAAUGAUUUUGUUUGAACAGCCCCACCAUUCAGGGUCAUGGAUGUUGUGUCUCUGGUUGUUGUAUCCUUUCUCAUUGCAUCAUCUUGUCCCUUUGCACAAUUAAUGACUUAUCUCAGCUGUCCCCUCAUUUGAUGUCUGACAAAGAUGGUGGAGUAGCAGAAGCCACCAUAGAGUACUCAGUAACAUAUCUAGUAAAUCAUCUAUGAAUAUUUAGUAAGCAUUCUCUGUAAAAAGGAACUGUUUUACGUACUGAGACAAAAGCCAAAUAUUGAUUCUUGCCCACACAAUGCUUACAUUCUAAGAAUAUUGGACAGAGGAGUAGAAAAUCAACUUCCAGUCUUCCUGUUUGUUUAAAUAAUUAUAUAAAUUAGUGAACACAUUCGCUAAUAUUGAUCAUGAUAUAAAAAUAGAGGAAAGUAAAUGUUAUAAAAGUAUUUAAGUUAGAACAGAGAUACCUAAAAGUGGUCAGGUUCUAGAAGAUUGCUUAUAAAGCGUUACUGUAAUUAUGCAAAUACGUAGAUGCAUAAGAAGCAUUUUAGUCAGAAGGCAGUCUACAUCAAUGCUGGGUGAUGACAACUACUUAGAAUGCAGAGAAGUAGAAAUAAGGCAGAAUAUAAAAAGUUAAGAUGAUGUAAGAGCUGAUCUACAAUAUAAAGGGCCAUGACAUAUGCAACUGAAAAACAGAAAUGGGAAAGGAGUUUGUUUUAUAAGUAGUAGGGUUCAGCAAUGGUCUUCAACCCUCUAUGAACCUCAGAGUCUGCAGGGUCACUUGGUAAAGCAUAUGCAUUACUGAGUUCAAUCAAAUCUUAAAAUCUAUGAGUUAGUGCUUCCAGGAUGGGGCUCAAGAAAUUUUACCUUUAACAGGUGAUUCUAAAACUCUUGGUCUGAAGACACUUUGAGAAUAAUUGCUAUAGUAGAUCUCUAUUACCUUUUUCUGCCUUGUGUAGAUUUUGCUGUUUGGAAAAGAAACUUGAAUUAUUGUGCAAAAAUAUCUAUUCUUACCCAGUUCAACCAAUAGAUACUCUUAACCUUUGUCACAAUGAGCCACUGGAAUUUGGCCAAAUGAUUCCUGGAAAUAAUUUGAAUCUAAUUUGGGACAUUCCUGAAACUAUUGCACAGUAAAGCUAUCAAAUCCCUGAAGAAGAAAUUUUAACCCAAUAUGUAGAAAAAAAUCCUCCAAAAGUUAACCUGAGGCCGAAGUGAAUGGACCCUGAAGUAGUCAUGCCUAAAUCAUCUCUGCCCACUAAGAUCCUCAGUUAUAUCACUUAGUUUUCAGUCUUAUGGAUGAAAAUUUCCCCUGGUCUCUGACACAUAUAAGCCCAAAUCUAAGUAUAUAGAAAAGUACUGUGGAUAAUAUACUUUUUAAAAAACUAAAUAUGAUGAGAGAUGUGGUGGCACAUGACUUUAAUGUGCAUGUAGAAGGCAGAGGCAGGCAGAUCUCUGUGAGUUAGAGGCCAACCUGGUAUACCUAGUGAGUUCCAGGACAGCCAUGACUAUGUAGAGAAACACUGUCUCAUUUCUUUUUCUUUUUCAUUUAUCAUAGAGAACUGGAAAAGAGAAUUUAAAUGACUCAGUAAUACUUUGCACAUGACUAUAGUGACUUUUGUACCAGCCAAAGUUGAGCUAUUUAAAACACAAGCAAAUAGAAAGAUAUAAGUAGUCAGAUGACUGUAGGGAGUUGAAAGUGCACUGGACAGCACUUAGUUAUGCUAUGCCCUACCAGCAGCACUAUUACUAUAUACCACUCACAAAAUGACUCUAAGAAAAGUUUAUGUUUGGUCCCCCUUUCCUUCUCUAUGAAUUGCUGAUACUCUCCAUAAAUAGAUGCAGAUUUUCCAUUACAAAUGUAUGGAAAUUUUCUAAAUAGUAUCCAUGACUGUCUUAAUUCUGUGUCAUCAACUCAGGUUAAACUCUCUUCUUGGUAUAUUUCACGACUUUCUAUACACUGCCUUUUCCUCUCCCUUAUAGAACUCUUGUGCUGAUAUCCAUAAUUCUGAAUCACAGUGUUUUGCAUAGAGCGUAGCUAUACAGAUGUCUAUUAACUAAACAGUAAGAUGAUUCAUAGUUAAAAUCAACAUUCCUUGGGAGCACUUAAAACUCCAAAAUCCUUUUGUUGAGAGAGAGAGAGAGA